rnacentral:rRNA from 1 species
GACGAACGCUGGCGGCGUGCUUAACACAUGCAAGUCGAACGGAAAGGCCCUGCUUUUGUGGGGUGCUCGAGUGGCGAACGGGUGUGUAUCACGUGAGUAACCUGCCCUUUACUUUGGGAUAACUUCAUGAAACUGGGGCUCAUACCGGAUAUGAGCUCCUUCUGCAUGGUGUUUAUUGGUAAGUUUCGGCGUUUGGGCAUGGACUCGCGGCUUAUCAGCUUGUUGGUGGGGUAGUGGCUUACCAAGGCUUUGACGGGUAGCCGGCCUGAGAGGGUGACCGGCCACAUUGGGACUGAGAUACGGCCAAGACUGAUACGGGAGGAAGCAGUGGGGAAUAUUGCAAAAUGGGCGGAAGCCGGAAGCAGGAACGCCGCGUGCGGGAUGACGGCCUUCGGGUUGGAAACCGCUUUAGCCUGUGACGAAGCGUGAGUGACGGUAAUGGGUAAAGAAGCACCGGCUAACUACGUG